rnacentral:rRNA from 1 species
GGAAUUUUGGACAAUGGGGGCAACCCUGAUCCAGCCAUGCCGCGUGAGUGAAGAAGGCCUUCGGGUUGUAAAGCUCUUUCGUGAGGGAAGAAACGGCCAUCACUAAUAAUGGUGGUUAAUGACGGUACCUCAAGAAGAAGCACCGGCUAACUACGUGCCAGCAGCCGCGGUAAUACGUAGGGUGCGAGCGUUAAUCGGAAUUACUGGGCGUAAAGCGUGCGCAGGCGGUUUGAUAAGUCUGAUGUGAAAGCCCCGGGCUCAACCUGGGAACUGCGUUGGAAACUGUCAGGCUAGAGUGUGUCAGAGGGAGGUAGAAUUCCACGUGUAGCAGUGAAAUGCGUAGAGAUGUGGAGGAAUACCGAUGGCGAAGGCAGCCUCCUGGGAUAACACUGACGCUCAUGCACGAAAGCGUGGGGAGCAAACA